UUCCAUAAAUGAAGAAAGGGUGGAAUGAAAAUAUUGUAAUCUGGAGGGAAAAUGCAGUCUUUGUAUUCUGUUUUGUUCUAAUGCUACUCUCUCUCUCUCCCUUUCACACACACACACACACACACACACACACACACACACACACACACAUAACAGCCUACUCACUGAUAAAAGAUAAUAAUCAUUUGCAAUAUUUAAAUGUGAUUGUAUAUUUACUUAUUUAUUUUGUAGUUAAAAUGAAAACCGAGAUUGUAUGCUACAAUGAUAUUUUUCUGUUUGUUUGUUUCGUUUUGUUUCCUCUGACCAGAACUCUUUCGUGUCAUCAUAUCCCUAUUCUUAUCGCUCCAAGUCCUGGAUAGAACUUUUAACAGGCAUUCCAGUAGGUUCAGUGCCAGUCUCUACAGUGCAACAUAUUCAGAUUUACAAUUUGGAGAAAUGGUUUGUGUUCUGGUAAAUUUAAACAAACACCUGCCUAAAUAAAGGAACCUUUCUGUUGAUAUAAAUAGCCUAAUGCACAUUUCAUAAAAUGCUCUAAUGAAAUAGCUGAAUAAGAGGCUUUAGACACACACUGACUGUUGUAGGCUGAAGUGCACCUUUGUGGGCAAUACAACUGACCCGGUGACAAGGUGUGUGAAGUUUUUCUGAGGAGCAUGUGUCAUCGAUCAGAAGCGAUUAACGCAAGGAACAGUGUCUUAUCAGCUGCCGCGAGCAUCACACAACCCUCGCUCCGCGCGGAAGAGCAGCGGAUCACCGCGCACAUUUACAGGCAAGAAAUGACUAUCAAAUCCCCAAAGCGCUCGGCAAACGAAGGGUGCGAGUAACGCGGGCGAGGGAUCUGAUGUGGACUUGUGAAAGGAGGAUUCAUGCAACAGAUAGACAGAUAUAUGCCCAACUCGACGCCGUACAACAGAUAAACACGCUCGCGUUAAAUAGUCGCUAUUGAAAUCAGCAAGCCGCUGUGGUUCAGAAGUCAAACGGAGGUCAUCCUUUAUAUCCCCCCGCAGCAAUCUGCGACCAGGGGCCAGUCAGCAGUGAACCCUGCCAUCUCCACUCCUGACAACUGCCUCAAAGUUACAAGACUAUCGGGAAUGGUUUGAUUGAUGAGGUGGCUGUUUUGAAGUGAAACAGAAGACCUCACCUGUGGAUCAAUAUGAGGAAAAAGGUAGCCUUCAAGUCAACCACGUACUCAAUCAAGCAAACAUCUCUGGAGUGGGUCAUUAGCUCUCGA